rnacentral:rRNA from 1 species
GCAAGUCGAGCGCACCUUCGGGUGAGCGGCGGACGGGUGAGUAACGUGUGGGAACGUGCCCUAAGGUACGGAAUAGCCUCUGGAAACGGAGAGUAAUACCUUAUACGCCCUUUGGGGGAAAGAUUUAUCGGAGAAGGAUUAGCCCGCGUUAGAUUAGGUAGUUGGUGGGGUAAUGGCCUACCAAGCCUACGAUCUAUAGCUGGUUUGAGAGGAUGAUC